GGAUAGAGCUACUGUCUCUCUCAGGAGCAAAGGGUAGAAAAACUUACUUCCCAUUAUAAAAGAUUUGGGUUCUGUAACUCAGGGUUCGUCUCCUUUACCACACUGUACUUCAUGUGCAGAUAUUGCCCUGUAAAAACUAGCACUCAGGAAGGUAGUGUGAAUAUUGACACUCCAGCACCUACUCCUAUGAUGAGUAAUAAAGUUCUUUGUCCCUGACCCAGAAAUCAUGUCUUCUGUUGACAUCCUUGAAACUAUGGCUGGCUAACUUGUUAGCUUGCAAAUAGGGUAAGACCUCAGACCUUUCAUAGAUUUGGACUGUUUGGUGAUAAGCAAACACAGCAAACUGUUGGCCAAAUUGCAUGGUCAAUGGGGCAAAAUAAUGAUUCUCCCCUUUAUUGGCUUUUAUUGAAUAGGAUUUAGGAGGUGGUUACAGGCUGAGUAUCAGAAAAUUGACUGAAGACAACUCCCUUGAUUGUUGUUGACUCUCCUUUGAGGAGGAGGGAUGCUGUUCCUCAACCAAUUUUGCAGUCAGCCUCAGAGCCAACCUUAAAAGAAUUCGCACUGACAAAAAUUGACAAAAGGAGGAUGAUGGCUGUGGAUGCUUAAAAUACGAUGGAGGACACCUGGGUGGCUCACUCAGGUGACUUACAAAGCAAUUGGCAAAUGAUUGAGACCAUUCCAUGGGCCCUGUAUGCCUGAAGACACCACCUGUGUGGUCAGCUUCACUUCAGACUCUUCAGGCUUUGCUAGAACAAUAGAUGCAUACAUCCAACAUUUGAUUGUCGGCCAAAUUUUGUCACCAAAUGAUAAUAACCUUCAUGAUAUUUUGUAAUUACAGUCUCAUUGAAUGGCAUCUGAGGAUUCUGAAGAUCUUUGGGAAAAAAUCUCCAAUGGGAGAGGGUAACACUGAGAAUAAUAACGAAGGCCAAACAUCAACAGAUUUGUUUCUUCUGCUGGACUUCCAGUGGGAGGGUGAGAUUUACUAAUGGAUCUUGAAGAAAUAACUCCAUCAUAAAGCUUAGUUCUGAAUUGCCAAGAGCACACUCAUUUUCCUGGAGGAUCAUCUCCUUUUGCAUACACUGAUUCACUUUGACUGAAAGCAGAAGUCUGCAAGAAUCUGCACUGAGCCCAACAUUCGAGUCCUUCCCCAUUAAACAUGAAGGGGAAAUUGAGAAAGAGCACUGGACUAGGAUGCAGGAGGCAGGCCAACUGGCUUCUUGGUCUACUGCUAACCACGUGUACAUGAUGGCUAAGUCUGAGCAAGUCAUAAAGUCAGGGUUUCCAUUUCCUCCCUUACAGGGUGAGAGAGCUGGACUAAUUAUCUCUAAUCUUUUUUCCAGCUUUAAUACUCUCUGAGUCUAAAUGAUAUUGAUGAUCAAUGAAACAAUUAUUUUCCUGAGGCUGUCAAUUAUUUAUUAUAUUUGGAUCACUAAGAAGGAAACAGGAAAAGGCA